AUUGAACGCUGGCGGCAGGCUUAACACAUGCAAGUCGAGCGGAGAUGAGGUGCUUGCACCUUAUCUUAGCGGCGGACGGGUGAGUAAUGCUUAGGAAUCUGCCUAUUAGUGGGGGACAACAUUCCGAAAGGAAUGCUAAUACCGCAUACGCCCUACGGGGGAAAGCAGGGGAUCUUCGGACCUUGCGCGAAUAGAUGAGCCUAAGUCGGAUUAGCUAGUUGGUGGGGUAAAGGCCUAACAAGGCGACGAUCUGUAGCGGGUCUGAGAGGAUGAUCCGCCACACUGGGACUGAGAACCGGCCCAGACUCCUACGGGAGGCAGCAGUGGGGAAUAUUGGACAAUGGGCGGAAGCCUGAUCCAGCCAUGCCGCAUGUGUGAAGAAGGCCUUUUGGUUGUAAAGCACUUUAAGCGAGGAGGAGGCUACCUGGAUUAAUACUCUAGGAUAGUGGACGUUACUCGCAGAAUAAGCACCGGCUAACUCUGUGCCAGCCGCCGCCGUAACAC
rnacentral:rRNA from 1 species